UACGAAGGGGGCUAGCGUUGUUCGGAAUUACUGGGCGUAAAGCGUGCGCAGGCGGCUUCUCAAGUCAGGGGUGAAAGCCCAGAGCUCAACUCUGGAAUUGCCUUUGAGACUGCAUCGCUAGAAUUGUGGAGAGGUAAGUGGAAUUCCGAGUGUAGAGGUGAAAUUCGUAGAUAUUCGGAAGAACACCAGUGGCGAAGGCGACUUACUGGACACAUAUUGACGCUGAGGUGCGAAAGCGUGGGGAGCAAACAGG
rnacentral:rRNA from 1 species